rnacentral:rRNA from 1 species
UGAAUACGAGAUGCUACGGCGUCGAAGCAGUCUAUGUCAUACUUCCGAGAAAAGCUUGCACUGUCAUAAACAAAUAAUGCCUGUACCAUAACCGACACAGGUGGGUAGGUAGAGUAUACUAAGGGGCGCGAGAUAACUCUCUCUAAGGAACUCGGCAAAAUGACUCCGUAACUUCGGGAGAAGGAGUGCCUUAUUUAUAAGGUUGCAAUAACAAGAUCCAAGCAACUGUUUACCAAAAACACAGGUCUCCGCUAAGUCGUAAGACGAUGUAUGGGGGCUGACGCCUGCCCAGUGCCAGAAGGUUAAAGAAGUUGGUUAGCAUCCGCGAAGCUGAUAACUGAAGCCCUGGUGAACGGCGGCCGUAACAAUAACGGUCCUAAGGUAGCGAAAUUCCUUGUCGGGUAAGUUCCGACCCGCACGAAAGGCGUAAUGAUUUGGAUACUGUCUCGGAGAGGGGCUCGGUGAAAUAGACUUGUCUGUGAAGAUGCGGACUACCUGCACCAGGACAGAAAGACCCUAUGAAGCUUUACUGUAACCUGAAAUUGAAAUUGGACUUUACUUGCGCAGUAUAGGUGGGAGGCGUUGAGAAUAUUCUUGCGGGAUUAUUGGAGCCAUCAGUGAGAUACCACUCUUGUAAUGUUAGAUUUCUAACUUUGUAUCAUUAUCUGGUCAAAGAACAGUUUCAGGCGGGCAGUUUGACUGGGGCGGUCGCCUCCUAAACGGUAACGGAGGCGCACAAAGGUUUCCUCUGAACGGGUAGAAAUCGUAUCUAGAGUGUAAAGGCAUAAGGAAGCUUGACUGUGAGACCUACAAGUCGAGCAGGGACGAAAGUCGGUCUUAGUGAUCUGACGGUGCUGAGUGGAAAGGCCGUCACUCAACGGAUAAAAGUUACUCAGGGAUAACAGGCUGAUCUCCCCCAAGAGUUCACAUCGACGGGGAGGUUUGACACCUCGAUGUCGGCUCAUCGCAUCCUGGGGCGGUAGUACGUCCCAAGGGUUGGGCUGUUCGCCCAUGAAAGCGGUACGCGAGCUGGGUUCAGAGCGUCGUGAGACAGUUCGGUCCAUAUCCGGUGUAGGCGUUAGAAUAUUGAGAGGAGCCUUCUUUAGUACGAGAGGACCGAGAAGGACAUACCUCUGGUGUACCAGUUAUCAUGCCAACGGUAAACGCCGGGUAGCUAUGUGUGGAGUGGAUAACCGCUGAAAGCAUCCAAGUGGGAAGCCCACCUCAAGAUAAGUAUUCUC